rnacentral:rRNA from 1 species
AGAACGAACGCUGGCGGCAUGCCUAAUACAUGCAAGUCGAACGAACUCUUCGGAGUUAGUGGCGCACGGGUGCGUAACGCGUGGGAAUCUGCCCCUUGGUUCGGAAUAACAGUUGGAAACGACUGCUAAUACCGGAUGAUGACGAAAGUCCAAAGAUUUAUCGCCAAGGGAUGAGCCCGCGUAGGAUUAGCUAGUUGGUGAGGUAAAGGCUCACCAAGGCAACGAUCCUUAGCUGGUCUGAGAGGAUGAUCAGCCACACUGGGGACUGAGACACGGCCCAGACUCCUACGGGNGGCAGCAGGUGGGGAAUAUUGGACAAUGGGGCGAAAGCCUGAUCCAGCAAUGCCGCG